CUUAAGGAAUUGACGGGACCGCACAAGCGGUGGAUGAUGUGGAUUAAUUCGAUGCAACGCGAAAACCUUACCUACCCUUGACAUCCCGGGAAUUCUCUUGAAAGAGAGAAGUGCCCUUCGGGAGCCGGAGACAGGUGCUGCAUGGCUGUCGUCAGCUCGUGUCGUGAGAUGUUGGGUUAAGUCCCGCAACGAGCGCAACCCUUAUCUUUAGUUACCAUCAUUCAGUUGGGGACUCUAAAGAUACUGCCCCGGUAAACGGGGAGGAAGGUGGGGAUGACGUCAAGUCCUCAUGGCCUUUAUAUCCAGGGCUACACACGUGCUACAAUGGGCUGUACAAAAGGUUGCGAACCCGCGAGGGUAAGCCAAUCCUAUAAAGCAGUUCUAAGUUCGGAUUGGAGUCUGCAACUCGACUCCAUGAAGCUGGAAUCGCUAGUAAUCGCGGAUCAGCACGCCGCGGUGAAUACGUUCCCGGGCCUU
rnacentral:rRNA from 1 species